UACGUAGGGGGCAAGCGUUGUCCGGAUUUAUUGGACGUAAAGAGCGUGUAGGCGGCUUUACAGGUCCGUUGUGAAAACUCGAGGCUCAACCUCGAGACGCCGGUGGAAACCGUAAGGCUAGAGUCCGGAAGAGGAGAGUGGAAUUCCUGGUGUAGCGGUGAAAUGCGCAGAUAUCAGGAGGAACACCCGUGGCGAAAGCGGCUCUCUGGGACGGUACUGACGCUGAGGAGCGAAAGCCAGGGGAGCAAACGGG
rnacentral:rRNA from 1 species